GACGAACGCUGGCGGCGUGCUUAACACAUGCAAGUCGAACGCCCCGUAAGGGGAGUGGCAGACGGGUCAGUAACAAGUGGGACCGUACCCUUUGAUUCGGCAUAACUUGGGGAAACCAAAGCAAAUACCGGAUAAGCACUUACGGGGAAAGGUUUACUGCCGGAAGAUCGGUCCGCGUUUGAUUAGUACGUUGUGGGGGUAACGUCCUACCAAGGCAACGAUCAAUGUCUGGUCUGAGAGAAUGAUCAGCCACACUGUGACGGAGACACGGCCCAGACUCCUCUGGGAGGCAGCAGUGGGGAAUAUGCGACAAUGGGCGCAAGCCUGAUCCAGCCAUGCCGAGUCAGUGAUGAAGGCCUUAGGGUUGUAAAGCUCUUUUAUCCGGGACGAUCAUGACGGUACCGGAGCAAUAAGCCCCGGCUAACUUCGUGCCAGCCGCCGCGGUAA
rnacentral:rRNA from 1 species